AUUGAACGCUGGCGGCAGGCCUAACACAUGCAAGUCGAACGAGUGGCGGACGGGUGAGUAAUGUCUGGGAAACUGCCUGAUGGAGGGGGAUAACUACUGGAAACGGUAGCUAAUACCGCAUACCAUCAGAUGUGCCCAGAUGGGAUUAGCUAGUUGGUGGGGUAACGGCUCACCAAGGCGACGAUCCCUAGCUGGUCUGAGAGGAUGACACGCGCCACUGGAGCUGAGACACGGUCCAUACCCCUAUGCGGGAGACCGUUGGGGAAUAUAGCACAAUGGGCGCAAGCCUGAUGCAGCCAUGCCGCGUGUAUGAGGAAAGGCUUUGGGUGGUAGAGUACUUUCAGAGGGGAGGCGUUACCCGCAGAAGAAGCACCGGCUAACUCCGUGCCAGCCGCCGCGGUAAUAC
rnacentral:rRNA from 1 species